CGACUCUGGUUUCUCUUUCAUUACAAAUUGCCUUUCGCCUUUAACUAAAGACUUCCGUGGAGAGAAACAAUUUAAUGCGAGUUCAACGUAUUUUUGGAAGUGCUGGCUUUUGCUUC